rnacentral:rRNA from 1 species
CAUAUCACUAAGCGGAGGAAAAGAAACCAACAAGGAUUCUCUGAGUAACGGCGAGUGAAAGGAGAGGAGCCCAUAAACGAAUCCGGUGGUUUUCCACACGGAAAUGUGUUGUUUUGGAGUACGUUCGUUUCUGAUCGUUUGGAGCCGAAGUCUAUCUGAAUGGGGCUUUGCCCAUAGAGGGUGUCAGGCCUGUAAUGGCUCCGAGCACAGAAGCGGCGUUGCUCCUUAGAGUCGGGUUGUUCGGGAUUGCAACCCUAAGUAUCUGGUAGACACCAGAUAAGGCUACAUAUGAGCACGAGACCGAUAGUGCACAAGUACCGUGAGGGACAGGUGAAAAGAACUUUGAAGAGAGAGUUCAACAGUACGUGAAACCGCCUAGAGGCAAACGGGUAGACCUGCUAAUUGCAUAAAGAUUCAGUCUGCAGUUUGGUUGUCGGCCAAUCGUGUAUGUUGCUUUUGGUUUGCUCAACCUCUUGUUCGACGCAUUUCUUUCAUGCAAACGCCACGAUGGGUCGCCGCUUGGUGGACAUCCCUAGGGAGGUAGCCUCAUCCUCGGAUGAGUUGAAUGCCUCGGGUUGUCGGCACGAGUGGUGACCUUUUUGCGACGGUUCGCUGGUUGCUUUCGAGCUUGGGCUGCGAGAGCGCUCCUCACUGGUGUACUAUUCAUAGUGCCCUGUGGGCCAGCUUUCUUAGUUUUUGUUUCGCAAGAAGCCGCCGCAUCUGUGACGUUUUUGCAGGCAUCUCCCCGACCCGUCUUGAAACACGGACCAAGGAGUUUAGCAUAUGCGCGAGUCAUUGGGUGUUAAACCCAAAGGCGCAAUGAAAGUAAGAGCUUCGGCUCGUUGCGUGAUCUUGUUUUAACAAGCGCACCGCAGAGCCGUCCAACCUUCUCGGAAGAUGGGCGGUGUUUGAGCGCAUACGCUGAGACCCGAAAGAUGGUGAACUAUGGCUGAUCAGGAUGAAGUCAGGGGAAAUUCUGAUGGAAGUCCGUAGCGAUUCUGACGUGCAAAUCGAUCGUCUAAGUUGGCUAUAGGGGCGAAAGACUAAUCGAACCAUCUAGUAGCUGGUUCCCUCCGAAGUUUCCCUCAGGAUAGCUGGUACUCGGGAAACAGUUUUAUCCGGUAAAGCGAAUGAUUAGAGGCAUUGGGGACGAAACGACCUCAACCUAUUCUCACACUUUAAAUGGGUAAGAAGUUCUUCUCGCUUAGUUGGAGUUGAACAUUGAAUGCUGAGUGCCCAGUGGGCCACUUUUGGUAAGCAGAACUGGCGCUGUGGGAUGAACCAAACGCUCGGUUAAGGCGUCGAACGACAACGCUCAUCAGGUACCAUAAAAGGUGUUGGUUGAUAAAGACAGCAGGACGGUGGCCAUGGAAGUCGGAAACCGCUAAGGAGUGUGUAACAACUCACCUGCCGAAUCAACUAGCCCUGAAAAUGGAUGACACUUGUGCGUUGGGCCUAUACCGGGCCGUUGAGACAACCUACUUGGUAGCAAUGUUUCAACGAGUAGGAGGGUCGUCGCGAUACGCAUAGAAGCCUCGGACUUGCGUCCGGGUGGAGCUGUCGCGAGUGCAGAUCUUGGUGGUAGUAGCAAGUAUUCGAACGAGAACUUUGAAGGCCGAAGUGGAGAAGGGUUCCAUGUGAACAGCAGUUGGACAUGGGUCAGUCGCUCCUAAGAGAUAGGAAAAUUCUGUUCUGAAUUUGGGGCCGUACGUUAGCCCAUUUCUAUCGAAAGGGAAUCGGGUUAAUAUUCCCGAACCCGGCAUGGAUAUUGGCCCUCUGGGUCCCGUGCGGUAACGCAAACGAACUCGGAGACGCUGGCUAGACUUCUGGAAAGAGAUCCCUUUUCUUUGUAAGGGGCGGACUCCCUGGAAUCGGCUCGCCCGGAGAUAGGGACGUUGCACCCGUAAAGCACAGCGCCUCUUGCUGUGUCCAGUGCAGUCUGGCUGGCCCUUGAAAAUCCGAGGGAGACUGUAUAAUUUUCAUGCCGGUACGUACCCAUAUCCGCAUCCGGUCUCCAAGCUUCGUAGGCUCUGGCAAACUGAACAAUGCAGGCAAGGGAAGUCGGCAAAUUAGAUCCGUAACUUCGGGAAAAGGAUUGGCUCUAAGGGCUGGGCCUGUCGGGCUGGGGUAUGAAGCGAGGAAUGGAACUGAUCUGGGCUGGAUGAGGCUUUCGGGUCGAGUCCGGACCACGGUUGGAACCUACUCGUGGACUAUUCCAGCUACGCGGUUGCUCGCAGCUGCUUCGGCAAGCAUUUAACAGCCAACUUAGAACUGGCACGGACUC